rnacentral:lncRNA from 1 species
UUACAUCCUGUAAAUUAAAGCAUUCAAUAACAAACUCCAAUUUCAUACGUUCUUUAGCAGUUUUUUACAAGACUUUAGCUCUCUCAUAUUGCUAGCAUAAGACGAAAGAGAAAUAAGAAAGUAGAGAUUUAGGCAGCCAACCCUAGAUUAGAUCCAAACAACCGGAAACUCUGAAAAAGAUACCUUGUUUUUAGGAUCCUAAAAGACCAAAAGACGGUGUAGUACCCAUUAAAGCCUUUCAGUUACAAAGCAGGCGCCAGGGGAAGAUCCGGUGAGGCAAAACUCCUAAUCACAAGAUUCCCAUUUUCACAGCAUCAGAAGGAAAAUUUGGAUUUAAAGCAAGGAAGGUAAAAUCUCAGUUAUCUUUCUUAAAGUAUCUAGUAGUCAUCAAUUUCUUAAAUUCCAGUUAAUCAUCCUGAUAUUUUAUAUGAAUUUUGAACCGCCUUUUCAAUUUACAUCCACUCCAGAAAACGCAUACAGAUUAGCAUUACAAAGCCUCAGACAACCAGAUACCUAUUAUUAUUUUGACAAAAUUUUAGAGGAAAUUGAAACAACAGACCAGUGUUUAGCACAUAUACAAAUAGAAGAAGCUAGAUUAUCUAAAGUAGCACACCACCAUCCCGCAUCAUUUCUAAAAAAUUUAAGACAAGCAAAAGUAGAUUUACUUUGGCAUAAAUACUCUGAAUUAAAAUCAAUAGAAAGACAAAAAUUAGAAGAACAAGAAAAAUAUAAAAAUAAAAGGAAUUUUUGUAAUAAAGUUUGUAGAACAUCUGAUUAACAUUUGAUUAAUCACGUAAGACUUUAAUUGGAGCCGUAAAAGUCCAACCACUAGAGUGUAGUCCAACAUAGUCCAACAUAGUGUAGUCCAACAUAGGUCUUUAAUUGGAGCCGUAAAAGUCCAACCACCAGUUUUUAUAACUAUUAGAACAGAUUGUGAAGCAAUAAAAAAGUUUUUUGAUAAACAUAAUGAAAAAAGAAGUUCUACUAGAAGAUGGUUAAAUUUUGUAGAUAGUAUUAUUGGUAAUGGAUAUAAAGUAGUCUUCGAACACAUUAAAGGUAAAGAUAAUAAUUUAGCAGAUUUUUUAUCACGACUUUUUAACAAUUCUUCUGAUCUCUUAGCAGAUGGCAUAUAACUUCCAGAAAGUCAAAAUUGGCCAGUGGGAACUUACAAAGUACCCUAAAGGUACAAGUCUACAUUUCCAUAGCCAAGAGGAAGGUAAUUUAGAAGACAUCCAGCAGGAUAUCUUAAAUAACCUCUGGAAUAGCAGAAAUAGCACUGAUAAAGUUAGAAAUCUUAAUAUCUUAGCAUUUUAUUUUAGUAAUCUAUUCCAAAUGGAUUUCUGUUAUAGAACAAAUAAAUCAUUUUCGUAAUCCUUUAUGGAAAGCAUUUCAUAGCAUACAUGAAGCACUAGAAUUCGCUAGGCAUAAUAUAGGAACAACAUUUUAUGUAGAUCCUAAGGCUAGCAUGGAUAGCAUGAGGGUGCCAGUAUUUUAUAUAUACACAUACUUAUAUUUGUAUACAUACAUACAUAUAUAUAUACACAUACAUACAUCUAUAUAUAUGUAUGUAUGUAUGUCUACACACAUGUGUAAACCUGUUGUAAAAACUUAAAAGAGAAACACGUGAUAAUAUAUACACAUGUAUAAACCUGCUGUAUGUGUCUAUUUAUAGAUUACUGGUAUUGUUAAUAACUUAAUAUUCAUGUUAGCUAUAUUGUAUUAUCGUGUAUUGUUCAUUAGUAUUUUCUCAAAUAUUAUACAUUACUAUAAAAAGCCAACAUUUCAACCGGACUUGUGUCUAAAUUUGCUAGGCACCAAAAAUAACACUUUCCCUACCACUUAAAUGGUCAGUGGUGUCUAAAUUUUAAUAAAAUUAUGAUAUUUUAUUCCAAAAAAAAAAAGAAAAAAGUGGUGUGCUAUUUUUUUUUAUUAAGUAGAGAAUUUUGUUACUCAUUGUUUAAGGUAGCCAAGCUUGGUCGCUUGACUCUUAUAUGCUACGUAGGCUUGGAGGUUGGGGCCUCGUCGCUCAUCUUGAAUAGGAAAAUCAGAAACUUUCCUUCCAAUCCCAGAGAGGUAUGUGGCGUACUUUGGUACUUCAAAUAUGGCUGCCUCCAACACCGGGUUUGUUAAGGUGAAUGUAGAUGCAGCUUUAAGUACAGCAAAAGGGAGAGUAGGAUGGGGAGUGAUUGCAAGGCGAGCAGAAGGAGGGAUCCUGAAAGCUUGGGCUGGCAGUGGAGAAAGAUACACUGAAGCCAUGGUGGAGGAAGCACAUGCAAUUCGAAUAGCACUUAUUAAAGCUGGAACAAUGGGCUGGAGAAAGAUUGAAAUCCAAUCAGAUUGUAAGGGAGUCGUGGAAAAAAUCAAGACAGGUUGCAGGAAGGAUCCGAAGAUUGGAGCAAUGAUAGAAGAUAUUCUUAGGUUGGGAACUGUGUGAGGCAACCAUUACCCAACUUUUGCUAAUCAUUAUAUAUAAAUAUAUAUGUAAUCAUUAUAUAAAUAUAUAUAUAUAUAUAUAUAUAUAUAUAUAUACACAACACAUAAUACAUACAUAUAUUUAUAUAUAUAGAUAUGUAUAUAAACACACAUAUGUAAACCUGUUGUAAAAACUAAAUGGAGAAGCAUGCGAUAAUAUAUAGACACAUAUAAACCUGCUGUAUGUGUCUAUUUAUAGAUUAUUGGUAUUGUUAAUAACUUAAUAUUCAUGUUAGCUAUAUUGUAUUAUCCUGUACUGCUCUUUAGUAUUUUCUCAAAUCAUUAUAUAUUAC